rnacentral:rRNA from 1 species
AUUGAACGCUGGCGGCAUGCCUUACACAUGCAAGUCGAACGGCAGCACGGGUGCUUGCACCUGGUGGCGAGUGGCGAACGGGUGAGUAAUACAUCGGAACGUACCUUAUCGUGGGGGAUCACGCAGCGAAAGCUGUGCUAAUACCGCAUACGCCCUGAGGGGGAAAGCGGGGGAUCGCAAGACCUCGCGCGAUUCGAGCGGCCGAUGCCUGAUUAGCUUGUUGGUGGGGUAAAAGCCCACCAAGGCGACGAUCAGUAGCUGGUCUGAGAGGACGAUCAGCCACACUGGGACUGAGACACGGCCCAGACUCCUACGGGAGGCAGCAGUGGGGAAUUUUGGACAAUGGGGGCAACCCUGAUCCAGCAAUGCCGCGUGAGUGAAGAAGGCCUUCGGGUUGUAAAGCUCUUUUGUCAGGGAAGAAACACCGGCUCUAACACAGUCCGGGAAUGACGGUACCUGAAGAAUAAGCACCGGCUAACUACGUGCCAGCAGCCGCAGUAA